rnacentral:rRNA from 1 species
CUCAGAACGAACGCUGGCGGCAGGCUUAACACAUGCAAGUCGAACGCUCGUAGCAAUACGGGAGUGGCGGACGGGUGAGUAACGCGUGGGAACGUGCCUGAGGUACGGAAUAACUGAGGGAAACUUCAGCUAAUACCGUAUGAGCCCCGAGAGGGGGAAAGAUUUAUCGCCUUGGGAGCGGCCCGCGUCGGAUUAGCUAGUUGUGGGGUAACGGCCUACCAAGGCUUCGAUCCGUAGCUGGUCUGAGAGGACGAUCAGCCACACUGGGACUGAGACACGGCCCAGACUCCUACGGGAGGCAGCAGUGGGGAAUCUUGCGCAAUGGGGGCAACCCUGACGCAGCCAUGCCGCGUGAACGAUGAAGGCCUUAGGGUUGUAAAGUUCUUUUACCCGUGACGAUGAUGACGGUAACGGGGGAAUAAGCUCCGGCUAACUUCGUG